GACGAACGCUGGCGGCGUGCUUAACACAUGCAAGUCGAACGGAAAGGCCCUGCUUGCGUGGUAUUCUCGAGUGGCGAAGGUGUGUGUAACACGUGAGUAACCUGCCCUUGACUUGGGGAUAACUUCAGGAAACGGGGGCUAAUACCGGAUAGGAGCUCCUGCUGCAUGUUGGUGGUUGGAUAUUUUCGGCGGGUGGGGAUUGACUGCCGGCUUACCGGCUUGUUGGUGGGGUAGUGGCUUACAAAGGCUUUGACGGGUGGCCGGCCUGGGGGGGUGACCGGCCACAUUGGGACUGGGAUACGGCCAGGACUCCUACGGGAGGAAGCAGUGGGGAAUAUGGCACAAUGGGCGGAAGCCUGAUGCAGCAAGCCCGCGUGCGGGAUGACGGCCUUCGGGUUGUAAACCGCUUUCGCCUGUGACGAAGCGUGAGUGACGGUAAUGGGUAAAGAAGCACCGGCUAACUACGUG
rnacentral:rRNA from 1 species